rnacentral:rRNA from 1 species
AGCGUAGGCGGAUUCUUAAGUGGGAUGUGAAAUACCCGGGCUUAACCUGGGUGCUGCAUUCCAAACUGGGAAUCUAGAGUGCAGGAGGGGAGAGUGGAAUUCCUAGUGUAGCGGUGAGAUGCGUAGAGAUUAGGAAGAACACCAGUGGCGAAGGCGACUCUCUGGACUGUAACUGACGCUGAGGCUCGAAAGCGUGGGAGCAAACA